UAUAUGGCUAAUUUGGAGAUUUUUGUUGAGCGUAUAAUAAAAUGUAGAUGGUGUAUGAAUUAUUAAUUAACGAAUGUAUGAUAUGAAACAUACAGAUCAUACCUUGGGGGCAGUACGUUAACAACACAAAAUAUCUCUGAAUAUGAUAUAUCUCCCCAAAAGAGGCGUGGUUUGUCAAACAUCUGUAUUUACAGGUGCAAUCUGUACAUAGAAGAUAAAAUAUCGGUACAUUGUAGAUGUCUACGGACUGUUUUUUUUUCUUGGUAUGUCUUUUUGUAUUUUGAAGAAAACAAAGUAUUACAAAAAUCUUUUACCUUGAGACAGAAAAUAAAUAUCUUGAUACUUUGUUGAGGUUAAAGAGCUUACCUGUUUUGGUAUAUAUUUGUAUUUUGAAAUAAAAUAGUGUAUAAAUAGAACACUACAGGAAAUUAUCAUUAUUGAUCUAUUAAUUUGAAGAUAUUCAUGAUGGUUAAAAAAUGUCUCCUAUAUUGAUAUUCAUAUGUUUUUGUUUCUUUUCUCACUCAAGGCCAAGAACUGUAUUUCCUGAAUAGUGUACAUGUACGGUGAAUCAGAUCUAAAUGAAAUGACAUGGCUGCGAAAAAGAAGAUCCCGCACGGCGAACGGAAUCUCAACUUAUCCCAGGAUUUUACUGCAGGUCGAGAGAAAUACAGUGAUGCUAGAUAUCUAUUACAAUGUAAUCCUAGAGGGGUGCAAUCUUUAGAUAGAAGAUGAAAUAUCGGUACAUUUAGUCUUGCAAAAGGUCAAAUACGGACCUGUCAAAGACAUUUUGCAGGUAUAUAAGUAUUUAUGAAGUACUAGGAACGUGAUAUUCUUUAUACACUUUUCAUCAGUUGUCAUGUCUCCAUUCUGACAGGACUUGGCUGCGAAAAUGAAGAUCCCGGACGGCAAACAAAUCCUCAACUUAAAGGAUUUUACUGCAGGUCGUGCGAAAAGCAACGAUACUUUAUUUUCAUCCCCAUGUCAUCAUAGGAGAUGUGAAAAAAUUAGUAUCACUACGUUACAGCUGAAUUUUUAUAAUAUUGCUAAUGUCUUGAGACGUAUUAAAUGUCUUGAGGCAUGCACAAUGUCUUGAGACAUAAUAAAUGUGUUGAGACAUAAAAAAUGUUUUGAGACAUAAAAAAUGUCUUGAGAUAUGGAAAAAUAUCUUAAGACAUAAAACAUGUCUUGAAAUAUGGAAAAAUGUCUUGAGACGUUAUGUUUGUAGUUCAUUAUAUAGAUGUCUUCGGACUGUUUUUUUAUGGUAUAUCAUAUUUGUAUUUUGAAGAAAACUAAGUCUUACAAAAAUGAGACAGAAAAAAAUUAUCUUGAUACUUUGUUGAUGUUUACGAGUUUAGCUGUAUCUGUAUUUAUUUGUAUGUUGAAAUAAAAUAUUGUAUAAAUAAAACACUACAGGAAAUUAUCAUUAGUGUUCUAUUUAUAAUGGUUAAAAAUUGUCUCGUAUAUUUAUAUUCAUAUGUUUUCGUUAAUUUUCUCACUUACAGUCCAAGAACUGUAUUUCCUGAGAAAUGUAGUUGUACAUGUACGGGGAAUCAGAUCUUAAAAAUGAAGUAUAUCUUAACAUAUAAAUGCAUGUUUUGAACGUUUAUUUUCGCGCAUGAUGCAAUU